AGGUGCUGCAUGGUUGUCGUCAGCUCGUGCCGUGAGGUGUCGGGUUAAGUCCCAUAACGAGCGCGACCCUACCUUUAGUGCAUCAGGUAAUGCUGGGGACUCUAAAGGAACUGCCUACGCAAGUAGUGAGGAAGCGGGGAUGACGUCAAAUCAGCACGGCCCUUACGUCCAGGGCUACACACGUGCUACAAUGGCCGAUACAGAGGGCAGCUACCUGGUGACAGGAUGCAAAUCUCCAAAGUCGGUCUCAGUUCGGAUCGGAGUCUGCAACCCGACUCCGUGAAGUUGGAUUCGCUAGUAAUCGCGCAUCAGCCAUGGCGCGGUGAAUACGUUCCCGGGCCUU
rnacentral:rRNA from 1 species